GCGCCGUUAGCUCAGUUGGUAGAGCAGCUGACUCUUAAUCAGCGGGUCGGGGGUUCGAAACCCUCACGGCGCA
rnacentral:tRNA from 1 species